rnacentral:rRNA from 1 species
CGGUCCAGACUCCUACGGGAGGCAGCAGUAGGGAAUCUUCCGCAAUGGGCGAAAGCCUGACGGAGCAACGCCGCGUGAGUGAUGAAGGUCUUCGGAUCGUAAAGCUCUGUUGUUAGGGAAGAACAAAUGUGUAAGUAACUGUGCACAUCUUGACGGUACCUAACCAGAAAGCCACGGCUAACUACGUGCCAGCAGCCGCGGUAAUACGUAGGUGGCAAGCGUUAUCCGGAAUUAUUGGGCGUAAAGCGCGCGUAGGCGGUUUUUUAAGUCUGAUGUGAAAGCCC